rnacentral:rRNA from 1 species
UACGGGGGGGGCAAGCGUUUGUUCGGAAUUACUGGGCGUAAAGGCUCGUAGGCGGCCAACUAAGUCAUACGUGAAAUCCCUCGGCUUAACCGGGGAACUGCGUCUGAUACUGGAUGGCUUGAGUUCGGGAGAGGGAUGCGGAAUUCCAGGUGUAGCGGUGAAAUGCGUAGAUAUCGUAAGGAAGACCAGUGGCGAAGGCGGGUCUCUGGACAGUUCCUGACGCUGAGGCACGAAGGUCAGGGGAGCAAACGGG